GACGAACGCUGGCGGCGUGCCUAAUACAUGCAAGUAGAACGCUGAAGGAGGAGCUUGCUUCUCUGGAUGAGUUGCGAACGGGUGAGUAACGCGUAGGUAACCUGCCUGGUAGCGGGGGAUAACUAUUGGAAACGAUAGCUAAUACCGCAUAAGAGUAGAUGUCGCAUGACAUUUGCUUAAAAGGUGCAAUUGCAUCACUACCAGGUGGACCUGCGUUGUAUUAGCUAGUUGGUGAGGUAACGGCUCACCAAGGCAACGAUACAUAGCCGACCUGAGAGGGUGAUCGGCCAAACUGGGAAUGAGACACGGCCCAGACUCCUACGGGAGGCAGCAGUAGGGAAUCUUCGGCAAUGGACGGAAGUCUGACCGGGCAACGCCGCGUGAGUGAAGAAGGGUUUCGGAUCGUAAAGCUCUGUUGUAAGAGAAGAACGAGUGUGAGAGUGGAAAGUUCACACUGUGACGGUAUCUUACCAGAAAGGGACGGCUAACUACGUG
rnacentral:rRNA from 1 species